GUUAGCUAACAUUAGCUAGCUUGGUAAAUCAUUCCUGCAUUAACUGGAAAAGGAAGACAGUAUGCUAAUGUCUCAUAACCUAUAUCAACCUGACACUUUGCGUCUAUAAACUGUGUUUUAGUUGCUAAUUACUUAACUAUUUACCAUGUGGUUAAAUGUGUUUUUCAGCUGCUAAUAUAAGCACAGACAUGCUGCCCAGCCUCUCUAAGGAGGAUUUACGUGAUCCCUUUCCCGGACCAGAGCACUUCUUCGGAAGGAGAACCAUUUGUAGAUUUACUCAUGGUGAAAAUGAGAGUGAAGAAUCAGACCUGUGUAGACCAGGCACCUCCUCUGGGACCUGUGAUUUCAGCUCCACUCCCACCCCCUUCCACUCUUCACCCCUUCCUCCACCCUCCUGUCCCCUCCAUCCCCCAACCCCUCUCCAAACCCAAGAGACCAACAUGGUGCCACCAGAACCGUACAGCUUGUCUGCCCACAGUAUAUCUUAUACACAGACACAGAGUUGGAGCAAUCAAGAAGCACCUUUUUUGAAAAACAGCUUGCUGGACAAGAAGGAGACUAUAUCCUUUCCAAAGAUCUUCGCUGUCUGAUUUAAUCAGGAAUACAAGCAUGAUUUCCAUUAAGAGAGCACCAGGGGGUGACUUCCAGUAUCCAUGCAGCCGUGAACUCACUGUAAUGGCGAAGCGUCUCAUAGAGUACUGUACUACCCAAUGCUGCGGGACAGAUCUGCAACCAGUGGAGCUGAGUGGGAAUCUGUGAAGAAGCAGCUUUUGAAAAGGAUUCAGAAUGUGACAACCCCCAAAAAGAAGCAGGGAGCGACCCCUUCAAGAAAGAGGCCUCAAAGCCUUAGAUUUCAGAGCAGCCAGGAGAUGUCCACUGAUGAGACUGACAAACCCAUCUCCUCAACCCUGAUCUUGGAGAGAUCCCCACAAUCUAGAUGCAGCACCCCAGAGGUUGAGCAGUUGGGUGAAAGUACUGAGAGCCUACAGAACCAGGCGAGACAUUAUAAAACUACAAGAGAUGUACAAAACCAAGGCCAGACCCAACCAGAAGAAUGUUUCCCAGCUCCUGGACCUUGAAUUCCAAGCAAGACGGGCCUUCAUCGACUCUGAUGCUACUAAGGAGCAGGACAGGCCUACCAAGAUACUUCAAGUGUAUCCCUGCUUCAGAGAACUGGAUCAUGUUAUGGAUGAACUCCGGCGGAUCCUCAAUCGAGGGAAUUCCUGCUUCAUACCUGAUAUACCCGGAUACUUCAUACCCGCUGAGGGACCUUUUACAACAAGGCACAGUUUUAUGGAAUGUUCAAAAAGGUCAUGAAGCCACCGCUGCUGGACAAAGUGAAGCACUCAAUCGCCAUGAUGAAGGCUUUACCAGAUAUGUUCCCAUCACUUGUGGCUCCACCGAAGAAGUUAGGACAUGCAGAUGUCUGCUUCACCUGCUACCUACCACCUCAUUAGACACUGACGGGCCAGGAGCUAGGGGCCUACACCUGCUGCUCCUCCAUGGAUCCAGGACAAUUAAUUUAUGGCUUCUACUGCCACUAUAAGUUUUACCAUUUCUUCUCAAUUUGCUUUGGACUGGGUUGUGGAAUGGCAGUCUACCGACCAUAUUACCCCAUUAUGACCCCGGCACUUCUGUCUGUGAUUUCCACUCUUGUAUUUGAAUUUGUGGGCAUGCUCUCUGAUCUGCCAGCUCACACUAAAAGAUGCAAAGGCCCUCCCUAUCAUAGAAGAGAUGCCUUCUGGGGAUUGUGUGCUGCUCUGCUUGUGGCUAUCUUAAACCUCGACUCAUAUCAUGUCUACACACUGUCUUAUGGAUGUGGAAUCAUGGUGUUUGCAGUUCGAGGAGCCAAGCGGAAAUACAGCUCUCUAUGGGACAUAAGAGAAAGGUGGUGACCCAGGUGGCAAAGCCAUGCCGUUGUCAACUGUAGAAGACUCAGUAGAAUGGGCAAUGGCUUUUACUGUGCUACCUAGAAGGGCACAUUGCAGAGCUGCCAUUUGACAAACAGAUGUCUUAUAUAUUCAGACCAAUACUGUCUGCUGAUAGGAUCUCAGCGUAAACAUGGUGACCAAUGGACCAACUCUGCUCGGUCAUCUGUCGGAAUCUUUCACAAUCAAAUCUGGAUACUCACUGUGGGUGUUGGUUCUGAUCAAAUCCAAAUUGUACAGAAUCAAAAAUGAAGAGAAACCUGCUGCAAUUCGAAUCAUAUUCAAACUAACAGUCUACGAAUAUAUUAAAGUUUAACUUAUUGUUUUAUCUAUUUAGAAUUGAUUUAUCUCUGUGGUCAAUUAUAAUGAUGUUAUUCAUUUUAGUCUUCCUUAAUUUGAUCAUUAUUCUAAUAAAAUGUUUUGCAUAAGCAAAUACUUACGCCAACCUGCCUUUUUCAAUAGACACGCUAUGAUACAUUUGCAUGCACACAAUCGAAGAAACACACGGAAAUACUAGUGAACUCUCAAACUCAAAUGCAGAGGGCUUUAAUAGAUGAAGGUAUAAGGUACAUACAAAAGUUCAAGUAACAAAUGAGGUGUUUGUUUUAGCUUCACAGUUCAGAUGUAACUGCAUGCUCCCAACAUCACCAUGACCACAAGCACAGAGACAGUCCCUAAGCCAGGGCUGGGGUACAUUCCAUUUCGAUUUACAUCCUGAUAUGACUGAAUUGAAUUGAAAUGGAAUUAACCCCAACCCUGCUCUAAGCCCUAGCUGGCCCCGUGUCCCUCUUCCUCACCUCCAGGUCCAACUGUUUGCUAUAGUGGACACAUCGCUCAUAGAAACAUUACUGGUAUGUUCAGACAGCUCGUUUUAGCACACUGUUGGUUUGCUCAUGCAGGUAAAAGGUGUUAAUAUGGAGUUAAAUAUGUGCCAAAAGCUUUUACGCACAACAUUUUGGCAGUUAUCUGACCCCAUAUGUUUAGCUAGUCUACACCUGAGUUGUAGAGAUAAAAGGAAGUUUAAAACCAACAUGUGUGCUAACACAAGCUGUCCAGUAACGUGUGUGGGUUGUGGUAUAGAGAGACAUAUGGAUCAAACUGUAUGGACUUUUCACUUUACUGAUAUUUGUAGCCCACAUACAUUUUAAUUUGAUCAUCUUUUGUUUCUUUUUUUUCUUGGACUACGUUUUACAAACAUGACAUUUUCCAAGACGGUUGUCAUGGAUACGACACUUACAUUUCACUACCACCUGCCCCACCCUGUCUUUAGAGUUACAUCAUCAGAACAAUAUAAAAGUAUUCAAACAAACUGCUGCUGGUUGUUUUUUGGUUGAACAUAU